rnacentral:lncRNA from 1 species
AAAGCCCUUGUCUUCUGAUGCUUGCUUACUGUGCCCUCAGAAACUCUAGAUGUUUCUCUAGAGCAGCUCUAUCCAACAGAAAUAUAAUAGUUAAUCCUUCCUGCAGCCUCUGUGUAGAUUUUAAAUUCCAAAUUCACGGAUAUGAGUUGAGGUUCCCGGGAAGAGAAUGAGGACUGUGUGACUGGAGCGCGUAAAGCUGGGACAGCAGGCUGUGCCGGGUGGCGGGCGAUGGAGGCAGAGCUCAGAUUUCUUGGCAGCCGGAAUUCUGGAUAUGAAUCAGGUCCUGCCAACAAGAUGUAGUAAGGAGAGGUGAAAGGUGG